rnacentral:rRNA from 1 species
UACAGAGGGUGCAAGCGUUAAUCGGAAUUACUGGGCGUAAAGGGCGCGUAGGCGGUGGUAUGUGAGAGAUGUGAAAGCCCUAGGCUUAACCUAGGAAGAGCAUCUCAGACUAUAUGACUAGAGUACAGUAGAGGGUAGCGGAAUUUCCGGUGUAGCGGUGAAAUGCGUAGAGAUCGGAAGGAACGCCGGUGGCGAAGGUGGCUGCCUGGACUGAUACUGACGCUGAGGCGCGAAAGCGUGGGGAUCGAACAGG